GCUAAGCCCUGAUGAGAUGUCCAAUACUCUUGUGCAUUAAUGCCUAGGUUAGAAGUGGCUGCAGGGCAGUAAUGCACAAGAGUAUUGGACAUCUCAUCAGGGCUUAAAAAAA